rnacentral:tRNA from 1 species
AGAUACUUAGGUUAUAUAAACCAGGGGCCUUCAAAACCCCAGAAAGUGACCUACACUAGUACCUG